AGUUCUAUUCAUGUGUAUGUUGCUACAUGAACGCGCCAUAUUUAUCUGUUAUAAGAGCAAGCCCUGGGAUAGGAACCUGGGCUGACCUCCAGGGGGACUGAGUUCAGAGGUCUAAGACCCAAGUGUCAUGGAGAGAGGAACUUUCAGAGAGCCCCGGGCCCCUGGGACAGGCCACAGGUGCAGAAACAUGGGCCCUGUUACCCUUUUGAUUCAGUCUCUCCCUGCCUCCCUGAAGAACAGGGGUCACACCCUUCCCUUCCUGGAACUUCCAAAGCUCCCCGUUGCCCUCGGGACGGAGCUCUUGGCGUGGGCCACUAGGGCUAGCCAGCAAGAGGCCUCUCAUUCCUGCAGCCUCAACUUUCAGUCUUUUUACCAGAUUCUCCCAUGUUCCAGACACAAGGGACUUUCUUCCCUUCUGCUGAAUGCUCUCCGUUCUUUCCUAGUUCCAGGCCUUGGUGCCAUCUGCUUCCUCUGCCUGGGAACUUGGUCACUCUCGUUCACCCUUCAUUGGGCUUAGCACUGCAUAGCCUUCAAGUCUCAGCUUCAUCCAUUUUUGUCAGGAAGGCUUCCCCAUUGUCUGAACAGGAUGAACCCCUGACCUGUUCUCCCAAGGCAUCCAGUACGGCCGGAUGUGACCCGCACUGCCCUUCAUGAAAUCUUGGACACAGUUUAUAAGUGGAUUGGAGCCCAAACCUGGACCCGUCCCCUUGCCAAAACCGUUGAAGGUCAAACUCACCGGGGCCAACGCAAUCUGAAACAAUGAAAACCGUGAAGGCGUCCAACAGCAGUGUAGAUGGUGACGCUGGAAGAGGCAAUGGUCACCGAGCAUGAAGGCAGUAAAAAGCUGUGUCACAAAGCCUUAAGAAUUCGAAUUCCCUUUGCUGUAGCGAUCUCACCUCUAGGA